rnacentral:rRNA from 1 species
UACGUAGGGUGCGAGCGUUAUCCGGAUUUAUUGGGUUUAAAGGGUGCGUAGGCGGCUUAGUAAGUCAGCGGUGAAAUUUUGCAGCUUAACUGUAACAGUGCCGUUGAUACUGCCAGGCUAGGAUUUGGUUGCUGUGGGUGGAAUGUGUGGUGUAGCGGUGAAAUGCUUAGAUAUCACACAGAAUAUCGAUUGCGAAGGCAGCUCACAAAGCCAAGAUUGACGCUGAGGCACGAAAGUGUGGGGAUCAAACAGGA